rnacentral:rRNA from 1 species
CGGGUGAGUAACGCGUGAGUAACCUGCCUUACACAAGGGGAUAGCCUUUGGAAACGAAGAAUAAUACCCUAUAAAACCAUAAAAGCACAUGCUAGAAUGGUCAAAGUGAUAGCGGUGUAAGAUGGACUUGCGUCUGAUUAGCUAGUUGGUGAGAUAAAAGCUCACCAAGGCAACGAUCAGUAGCCGGCUUGAGAAGGUGACCGGCCACAUUGGGACUGAGAUACGGCCCAG